AAUCAACGCUGGCGGCGUGCCUCAGACAUGCAAGUCGAACGAUUAAAGCUCUCUUCGGAGAGUGUAUAGAGUGGCGCACGGGUGAGUAACACGUAAGUAAUCUACCUUCGAGUGGGGAAGUAACAGUCGGAACGACUGCUAAUACCGCAUAAUGCAGCGGCAUCGCAAGAAUGACAGUUGUUAAAGGAAGUAAUUCGCUUGAAGAGGAGCUUGCGGCAGAUUAG
rnacentral:rRNA from 1 species